rfam:Schistosoma curassoni strain Dakar, Senegal genome assembly, scaffold: SCTD_contig0002782
GUAUGGUUGGUUCAGUGGUACAUAUACUAAAAUUGGAACGAUACAGAAAAAAUUAACAAGCCCCUGGACAAGGAUGACAUACAAAAUUGUGAAGCGUUCCAUAUAUUU